rnacentral:rRNA from 1 species
UACGAAGGGGGCUAGCGUUGUUCGGAAUUACUGGGCGUAAAGGGCGCGUAGGCGGCCAUUCAAGUUAGGUGUGAAAGCCCUGGGCUCAACCUAGGAAUUGCACUUGAUACUGUUUGGCUUGAGUUCGGGAGAGGUGAGUGGAAUUCCCAGUGUAGAGGUGAAAUACGUAGAGAUUGGGAAGAACACCAGUGGCGAAGGCGGCUAUCUGGACGGUUACUGACGCUAAGACGCGAAAGCGUGGGGAGCAACAGG